UACGGAGGGUGCGAGCGUUGUUCGGAAUCACUGGGCGUAAAGCGCGCGUAGGCGGACCUGCAAGUCGGGGGUGAAAGCCCGAGGCUCAACCUCGGAACUGCCUUCGAUACUGCGGGUCUCGAGUCCGGGAGAGGUGAGUGGAAUUCCUAGUGUAGAGGUGAAAUUCGUAGAUAUUAGGAAGAACACCAGUGGCUAAGGCGGCUCACUGGCCCGGUACUGACGCUGAGGCGCGAAAGCGUGGGGAGCAAACAGG
rnacentral:rRNA from 1 species